CCCUUAGUAACUGCGAGUGAAGUGGGAAAAGCUCAAAUUUAAAAUCUGGCAGUCAUUUGACUGUCCGAGUUGUAAUCUAGAGAAGUGUUGCCCGUGCUGGACCAUGUACAAGUCUCCUGGAAUGGAGCAUCACAGAGGGUGAGAAUCCUGUCUUUGACAUGGACUACCAGUGCUUUUGUGGUAUGCUCUCAAAGAGUCGAGUUGUUUGGGAAUGCAGCUCAAAACGGGUGGUAAAUGCCAUCUAAAGCUAAAUAUUGGCGAGAGACCGAUAGCGAACAAGUACCGUGAGGGAAAGAUGAAAAGAACUUUGGAAAGAGAGUUAAACAGUACGUGAAAUUGCUGAAAGGGAAACGCUUGAAGUCAGUCACGUUGACUUGAAAUCAGCUCUGCUUUUGCUGGGUGUACUUUCUUGUCAAUGGGUCAGCAUCAAUUUUGAUCAUUGGAUAAAGUUAUUGGGAAUGUAGCAUCUUUAGAUGUGUUAUAGCCCAGUGAUGCAUACAGUGGUUGGGAUUGAGGAGCUCAGCACGCCACCAAGGCCGGGUUUCGACCAUGUUCGUGCUUAGGAUGCUGGCAUAAUGGCUUUAAUUGACCCGUCUUGAAACACGGACCAAGGAGUCUAACAUAUCUGCGAGUGUUUGGGUGG
rnacentral:rRNA from 1 species